rnacentral:lncRNA from 1 species
AUUGUCGAGGGUUUCAUCGAUCAUAGAAAUGGACGGCCGAAGGAAAGAAGAAAAGAUGUCACUGCGUGAAGUGGCGAAGAUCAUGCGCAAAAAACAAAAAAUGGGAUUCAAGAAGGAGCAGCAGAACCAGCCAGCUCAGAACCAGCCAGCUCAGAACCAGCCAGCUCAGAACCAGCAACAAGGAGGAGGCCAAGGAGGAGGCCAAGGAGGAUAGAAUCAUGGGAGCGGCUGAGACAUCCACCAUGACACCUCACCACCACCUACUUCCCCCAAAUUAACACCAAGAAAAAUCAUCGUGUCAUGCAGCAAGAAGGAGGUCUCAGGCAUGGAAACCUCACCAACUACUCCCUCCCAAUUAAUUUUAAGGGUUUUAUAUAAAAUAAAAUAAAAUUGAAAACAAUUAA